CCUCAGGUGAUCCAGCUGCCUCGGCCUCCCAAAGUACUGGGAUUACAGGCAUGAGCCACCGCACCCAGCCAAAUUGGGGACUUUUAACAGUCAUUUUACCUGUAGAAUAAUCAAAACUCUUCACUUGAUCUGUAGUCAUAGCUAUUAACACAGAAAAAUGAAUGCCAGUUAUGUUGCCAUAAACCACCUUCUGAACUUGGCAAGAUCUUAAAACCAUCAACUGUUCUCUGUUCACUCUGUGAACUUCUUUCUACUUUACUUCCUUCUCUACCUCACCUGUACUCUAUAGUCACUCACUUCAAUGACACUUAAAGAGCAUUCACUCUCAGAUCACUUUUCUCCUUUCCUUGCCCAUUCUUAUCUUGCCAACUCCCAGUCCUGGAUAAAUCCAAACAUCCACGUUCUUUGUGCAUCCGUGUUGCUCAGUGCUGCUGGGGAACAUUUUCACAACUGCUGUUGGAACCAUUGUGAGUUUACACAUUCCAGCCUCUGCAACGCCUUUAUUUUCCAUCUAAUCUUUCCUAGCAGAGAUUUCUAUUUGUUUUGUUUUGGUUUG
rnacentral:lncRNA from 10 species